rnacentral:rRNA from 1 species
AUCGAACGCUGGCGGCAGGCCUAACACAUGCAAGUCGAACGCAGUGGGGACGGGUGAGUAACACGUGGGUAACCUCCCAUCAGAGGGGAUAACACUUGGAAACAGGUGCUAAACCGAUACUGAUGGAUGGACCCGCGGUGCAUUAGCUAGUUGGUGAGGUAACGGCUCACCAAGGCCACGAUGCCUAGCCGACCUGAGGGGGUGCGCGGCCACACUGGUACUGAGACACGGCCCAGACUCCUACGGGAGUCAGCAGUAGGGAAUCUUCGGCAAUGGACGAAAGUCUGCCCGAGCAACGCCUCGUGAGUGAAGAGGGUUGUCGGAUCGUAAAACUCUGUUGUUAGAGAGGCGGUAUCUAACCAGAAAGCCACGGCUAACGACGUGCCAGCAGCCGCGGUAAUAC